UAAAAGCCUACCAAGCCUAAGAUCCUUAGCUGUUCUGAGAGGUUGAACAGCCACACUGGGACUGAGACAAGGCCCAGGCUCCAUUUGGAGCCAGCAGUGAGGAAUUUUGGACAAUGAGCGAAAGCUUGAUCCAGCAAUACUACAUGAGUGAAGAAGGCUUUCAAGUUGUAACACUCUUUGGCUGAGGAGGAUAAUGACAGUACUCAACAAAAUAGCCCCGGCUAACUUCGUGCCAGCAGCCGCGGUAAGACGAAGGGGGCGAGCGUUAUCCGGAAUGACUGGGCGUAAAGGGUCCGUAGGCAGCAUUUUUUGUUGGAAGUUAAAUAAAAAAGCUUAACUUUUUUCCGCUUCUAAAACGUAAAUGCUUUGAGUUUGAUAGAAGAUAGCAGAAUUUCACAAGGAGGGGUGAUAUCCAGAGAUCUGUGAAGGAAUAUCAGAUGCGAAGGCGGCUAUCUAGAUCAACACUGACGUUGAGGGACGAAAGCAUGGGGAGCAAACAGGAUUAGAUACCCUGGUAGUCCAUGCCCUAAAAGAUGAGUGUUCGUGCUUAGAGAACUUUAGGCACUUAGUUAACACGUUAAACACUCCGCCUGGGGAGUACGAUCGCAAGGUUGGAACUCAAAGGAAUUGACGGGGGCCUAUACAAGUGGUGGAGCAUGUGGUUUAAUGCGAUAAUACGCGCGGAACCUUACCAGUUCUUGACAUAAAAAAGAAAAAGUUUGAAAAAGCAAUUUUAAAGAUUUUUACAGGUGCUGCAUGGCCGUCGUAAGCUCGUGUCGUGAGAUGUUAGGUUAACUCCUUUUAACGGGCGAAACCCCUUUUUUUCGUUGCUACUUAAUUUUAUUUUUAAAGCACUCUAAAAAAACUGCUCCCUUUUUUUAAUUCGGAGAGGAAGGUGGGGAUGACGUCAAGUCCUUAUGGCCCUUAUGAACUGGGCUACACACGUGCUACAAUGGUAAAGACAAUAAGAAGUGAUAGGGUAACCUAAAACCAAUCUUUAAACUUUAUCAAAGUUCGGAUUGUGGACUGCAACUCGUCCAUAUGAAGGUGGAAUCACUAGUAAUCGCACAUCAGCAUGUUGCGGUGAAUUUGUACCUAGGCCUUGUACACACCGCCCGUCACGUGCCGGGAGUUGGC
rnacentral:rRNA from 1 species